AUCUUUCUAGUAUAAACAAUACUAGUGACUUCCAAUCACUUAAUCUUGGUUAAAACCCAAGGAAAGUUA
rnacentral:tRNA from 1 species